rnacentral:rRNA from 1 species
UACGUAGGGGGCAAGCGUUGUCCGGAUUCAUUGGGCGUAAAGCGCGUGUAGGCGGUCCGGUAAGUCCGCUGUGAAAGUCGAGGGCUCAACCCUCGAAUGCCGGUGGAUACUGUCGGGCUUGAGUACGGGAGAGGCGAGUGGAAUUCCUGGUGUAGCGGUGAAAUGCGCAGAUAUCAGGAGGAACACCAAUGGCGAAGGCAGCUCGCUGGAACGGUACUGACGCUGAGGCGCGAAAGCGUGGGGAGCAAACAGG